GAUUCUCCUGCCUCAGCCUCCCAAGUAGCUGGGAUUACAGGGGGCUCAGACCGCUGAUCUGCAGCCCAUCUCGAUGUGCCUCAUGGCUACUGAUCUCAUCCCUGCAUUCUUCUCCUGCUUCCACCAGCUUUAUUAAGGCUCACUCUUCUGAGGUCAUUCCGAGGCUUUCUUCUGGGCUUGCAUAACUGGGACUUCCUGUACCACCAGUUCAAUUCUGCCUAGAGCUGAGGACCACGCCAGAUAAGCAAGUCCCAGAACCAGCCACUGCUCAGGACAGGAUGCUCAAAGUGAUGCCGGGCGGCCAGCCAGACUCUGGAUCCCUAGGGCUUUGCCGGAGGUAGUGCAGGUCAAGGUAAGUGGGAGAUCUACA